rnacentral:rRNA from 1 species
GAUUAACGUUGGCAGUGUGCCUAACACAUGCAAGUCGAGCGAUAUAGCGGCAGACGAGAGAGUAAUAACAAGGAACUUACCCCUUAGCGGAGGAUAGCCCACCGAAAGGUGGGGGUAAUCCUGCAUAAUGUCGAGAGACCAAAGCCUUCGGGCACUAAGGGAGAGGCCUUGUUCCUAUCAGCUAGUUGGCGGGGUAAUAGCCCACCAAGGCGAUGACGGGUAGCUGGCCUGAGAGGGUGACCAGCCUCGAUGGGACUGAGACACGGCCCAUACUCCUACGGGAGGCAGCAGUUGGGGAUUUUGCACAAUGGGCGCAAGCCUGAUGCAGCAACACUGCGUGAAGGAUGAAGGUUUUCGGAUCGUAAACUUCUUUUGUGUGGGAAUAAUCUUGAAGGUACCACACGAAUAAGCACCGGCUAACUACGUG